GAUGAACGCUGGCGGCGUGCUUAACACAUGCAAGUCGAACGGAAAGGCCCAAGCUUGCUUGGGUACUCGAGUGGCGAACGGGUGAGUAACACGUGGGUGAUCUGCCCUGCACUUCGGGAUAAGCCUGGGAAACUGGGUCUAAUACCGGAUAGGACGAUGGUUUGGAUGCCAUUGUGGAAAGUUUUUUCGGUGUGGGAUGAGCUCGCGGCCUAUCAGCUUGUUGGUGGGGUAAUGGCCUACCAAGGCGUCGACGGGUAGCCGGCCUGAGAGGGUGUACGGCCACAGUGGGACUGAGAUACGGCCCAGACUCCUACGGGAGGCAGCAGUGGGGAAUAUUGCACAAUGGGCGCAAGCCUGAUGCAGCGACGCCGCGUGGGGGAUGACGGCCUUCGGGUUGUAAACUCCUUUCGCUAGGGACGAAGCGUUUUUGUGACGGUACCUGGAGAAGAAGCACCGGCUAACUACGUG
rnacentral:rRNA from 1 species